rnacentral:rRNA from 1 species
GAACGCUAGCUACAGGCUUAACACAUGCAAGUCGAGGGGCAGCAUGGUCUUAGCUUGCUAAGGCCGAUGGCGACCGGCGCACGGGUGAGUAACACGUAUCCAACCUGCCGUCUACUCUUGGACAGCCUUCCGAAAGGAAGAUUAAUACAAGAUGGCAUCAUGAGUCCACAUGUUCACAUGAUUAAAGGUAUUCCGGUAGACGAUGGGGAUGCGUUCCAUUAGAUAGUAGGCGGGGUAACGGCCCACCUAGUCUUCGAUGGAUAGGGGUUCUGAGAGGAAGGUCCCCCACAUUGGAACUGAGACACGGUCCAAACUCCUACGGGAGGCAGCAGUGAGGAAUAUUGGUCAAUGGGCGAGAGCCUGAACCAGCCAAGUAGCGUGAAGGAUGACUGCCCUAUGGGUUGUAAACUUCUUUUAUAAAGGAAUAAAGUCGGGUAUGCAUACCCGUUUGCAUGUACUUUAUGAAUAAGGAUCGGCUAACUCCGUGCCAGCAGCCGCGGUAAUACGGAGGAUCCGAGCGUUAUCCGGAUUUAUUGGGUUUAAAGGGAGCGUAGAUGGAUGUUUAAGUCAGUUGUGAAAGUUUGCGGCUCAACCGUAAAAUUGCAGUUGAUACUGGAUAUCUUGAGUGCAGUUGAGGCAGGCGGAAUUCGUGGUGUAGCGGUGAAAUGCUUAGAUAUCACGAAGAACUCCGAUUGCGAAGGCAGCCUGCUAAGCUGCAACUGACAUUGAGGCUCGAAAGUGUGGGUAUCAAACAGGAUUAGAUACCCUGGUAGUCCACACGGUAAACGAUGAAUACUCGCUGUUUGCGAUAUACAGCAAGCGGCCAAGCGAAAGCGUUAAGUAUUCCACCUGGGGAGUACGCCGGCAACGGUGAAACUCAAAGGAAUUGACGGGGGCCCGCACAAGCGGAGGAACAUGUGGUUUAAUUCGAUGAUACGCGAGGAACCUUACCCGGGCUUAAAUUGCAGAUGAAUUACGGUGAAAGCCGUAAGCCGCAAGGCAUCUGUGAAGGUGCUGCAUGGUUGUCGUCAGCUCGUGCCGUGAGGUGUCGGCUUAAGUGCCAUAACGAGCGCAACCCUUGUUGUCAGUUACUAACAGGUCAUGCUGAGGACUCUGACAAGACUGCCAUCGUAAGAUGUGAGGAAGGUGGGGAUGACGUCAAAUCAGCACGGCCCUUACGUCCGGGGCUACACACGUGUUACAAUGGGGGGUACAGAGGGCCGCUACCACGCGAGUGGAUGCCAAUCCCAAAAACCUCUCUCAGUUCGGACUGGAGUCUGCAACCCGACUCCACGAAGCUGGAUUCGCUAGUAAUCGCGCAUCAGCCACGGCGCGGUGAAUACGUUCCCGGGCCUUGUACACACCGCCCGUCAAGCCAUGGGAGCCGGGGGUACCUGAAGUGCGUAACCGCGAGGAGCGCCCUAGGGUAAAACUGGUGAAAG